ACGGGUGAGUAACACGUGGGAACGUACCUUUUGGUUCGGAAUAACGCAGGGAAACUUGUGCUUAUACCGAAUGUGCCCUUCGGGGGAAAGAUUUAUCGCCAUUAGAGCGGCCCGCGUUAGAUUAGCUAGUUGGUGAGGUAAAGGCUCACCAAGGCUACGAUCUAUAGCUGGUCUGAGAGGAUGAUCAGCCACACUGGGACUGAGACACGGCCCAGACUCCUACGGGAGGCAGCAGUGGGGAAUCUUGCGCAAUGGGCGAAAGCCUGACGCAUCCAUGCCGCGUGAAUGAUGAAGGUCUUAGGAUUGUAAAAUUCUUUCAGUAGGGACGAUAAUGACGGUACCUACAGAAGAAGCCCCGGCUAACUUCGUGCCAGCAGCCGCGGUAAUACGAAGGGGGCUAGCGUUGCUCGGAAUUACUGGGCGUAAAGGGAGCGUAGGCGGGUUAUCAAGUUGGGGGUGAAAGCCCGGGGCUCAACCUCGGAAUUGCCUUCAAAACUGGUAGCCUAGAGUAUGAUAGAGGUAUGUGGAACUCCCAGUGUAGAGGUGAAAUUCGUAGA
rnacentral:rRNA from 1 species